CAAUACACCUUGAGAAACAUGUAUCUAUUCAGUGUUUGGAGAAACCAGGAGGAGUGAGCAAUGAUUGUUAAUAGCUGAAGAUAAAUGAGCAGGCCAUCUAACGCUGGUCAUAUAAUUGGGAUACAUUUGGUUAAACCAAGCUCAAAAGUUUCCCUGCCCAUGUGUCCUCCUGGCUUUGACUGUGGCUGCUGUUCCUGCAUCGUUUACUGUCUUUCCUGCCUCAGGGACUGAAUUGUGUUUGCUUCAAGUUGUGACAAGUUGUCUUCCUUACGAAGGGGUGAUCCAAGCUUUCCCCUAUACUUUUCCCCAGGCUUCCACAUCCGGUUCCUGACCUUUCCUGCCCUCUAGUGGCCAUGAGCCACACUACCAUCCUUGGCUGUGGAAUCUGCACACAGUUGGUAAAGUUUGACAGAUUAGAAUAUUUUAUGUGAAUUUCUAUUAUUCAAAUGCCAUGAUAUUAUAACCCUGAUCUUCCAUUGACAUUACCCCACAAUUAAAACACACAUCCAUGAGAGGUGAAAUCCACAACUCAAGUGGACUUAGAUUCAGAUAAAACUACCCCACUUAAUAGUUUAAGUAUAAUCUAAGAAUGUUUACACA
rnacentral:lncRNA from 1 species